AACGAACGCUGGCGGCAGGCUUAACACAUGCAAGUCGAGCGCCCCGCAAGGGGAGCGGCAGACGGGUGAGUAACGCGUGGGAAUCUACCCAUCUCUACGGAAUAACGCAUGGAAACGUGUGCUAAUACCGUAUACGUCCUUCGGGAGAAAGAUUUAUCGGAGAUGGAUGAGCCCGCGUUGGAUUAGCUAGUUGGUGGGGUAAAGGCCUACCAAGGCGACGAUCCAUAGCUGGUCUGAGAGGAGGAUCAGCCACACUGGGACUGAGACACGGCCCAGCCUCCUACUGGAGGCAGCAGUGGGGAAUAUUGGACAAUGGGCGCAAGCCUGAUCCAGCCAUGCCGCGUGAGUGAUGAAGGCCCUAGGGUUGUAAAGCUCUUUCACCGGUGAAGAUAAUGACGGUAACCGGAGAAGAAGCCCCGGCUAACUUCGUGCCAGCCGCCGCUGUAACAC
rnacentral:rRNA from 1 species